UGGGGAGUAUUGCACAAUGGGGGAAACCCUGAUGCAGCGACGCCGCGUGAGUGAAGAAGUAUUUCGGUACGUAAAGCUCUAUCAGCAGGGAAGAAAAAAAGUCCUUUGGACUUUGGACGGUACCUGACCAAGAAGCCCCGGCUAACUACGUGCCAGCAGCCGCGGUAAUACGUAGGGGGCAAGCGUUAUCCGGAUUUACUGGGUGUAAAGGGAGCGUAGACGGCAGCGCAAGUCUGGAGUGAAAUGCCGGGGCCCAACCCCGGAACUGCUUUGGAAACUGUGCAGCUCGAGUGCAGGAGAGGUAAGCGGAAUUCCUAGUGUAGCGGUGAAAUGCGUAGAUAUUAGGAGGAACACCAGUGGCGAAGGCGGCUUACUGGACUGUAACUGACGUUGAGGCUCGAAAGCGUGGGGAGCAAACAGG
rnacentral:rRNA from 1 species